rnacentral:rRNA from 1 species
UACGUAGGGGGCUAGCGUUGUCCGGAAUCAUUGGGCGUAAAGCGCGUGUAGGCGGUCCGGUAAGUCCGCUGUGAAAGUCGGGGGCUCAACCCUCGAAUGCCGGUGGAUACUGUCGGGCUAGAGUGCGGAAGAGGCGAGUGGAAUUCCUGGUGUAGCGGUGAAAUGCGCAGAUAUCAGGAGGAACACCAAUUGCGAAGGCAGCUCGCUGGGACGUAACUGACGCUGGAGGCGACGGAAAGCGUGGGGAGCGAACAGG